rnacentral:rRNA from 1 species
CCUACGGGAGGCAGCAGUGGGGAAUUUUGGACAAUGGGCGCAAGCCUGAUCCAGCCAUGCCGCGUGAGUGAAGAAGGCCUUCGGGUUGUAAAGCUCUUUCGGCCGGGAAGAAAUCGUGUUCUCUAACAUAGGACAUGGAUGACGGUACCGGACUAAGAAGCACCGGCUAACUACGUGCCAGCAACCGCGGUAAUACGUAGGGUGCGAGCGUUAAUCGGAAUUACUGGGCGUAAAGCGUGCGCAGGCGGUUUUGUAAGACAGAUGUGAAAUCCCCGGGCUUAACCUGGGAACUGCGUUUGUGACUGCAAGGCUAGAGUACGGCAGAGGGGGGUGGAAUUCCUGGUGUAGCAGUGAAAUGCGUAGAUAUCAGGAGGAACACCGAUGGCGAAGGCAGCCCCCUGGGCCUGUACUGACGCUCAUGCACGAAAGCGUGGGGAGCAAACAGGAUUAGAUACCCUGGUAGUCCACGCCCUAAACGAUGUCGACUAGUCGUUCGGAGCAGCAAUGCACUGAGUGACGCAGCUAACGCGUGAAGUCGACCGCCUGGGGAGUACGGCCGCAAGGUUAAAACUCAAAUGAAUUGACGG